GGGUCCAGAACAUCUCAAUCGUUCUGGAGAUGAACUGAAUCGAUAGUCGGGCCGCUAUCU
rnacentral:ncRNA from 1 species